rnacentral:rRNA from 1 species
UACGUAGGGCGCAAGCGUUGUCCGGAAUUAUUGGGCGUAAAGAGCUCGUAGGCGGUCUGUUACGUCCGCUGUGAAAACCCAGGGCUUAACCCUGGGCUUGCAGUGGAUACGGGCAGACUAGAGGCAGGUAGGGGAGCGUGGAAUUCCUGGUGUAGCGGUGAAAUGCGCAGAUAUCAGGAGGAACACCAGCGGCGAAGGCGGCGCUCUGGGCCGGUACUGACACUGAGGAGCGAAAGCGUGGGUAGCAAACAGG